rnacentral:tRNA from 1 species
GGAAACAUGGCUUAGUGGCAGAGUCUUUGCUCUCCAUGCAGAAGGUUUGUGGUUCAAUCCCUGACAUCUCCA